UACGUAGGGUGCGAGCGUUAAUCGGAAUUACUGGGCGUAAAGCGUGCGCAGGCGGUGAUGUAAGACCGAUGUGAAAUCCCCGGGCUUAACCUGGGAACUGCAUUGGUGACUGCAUUGCUGGAGUAUGGCAGAGGGGGGUGGAAUUCCACGUGUAGCAGUGAAAUGCGUAGAGAUGUGGAGGAACACCGAUGGCGAAGGCAGCCCCCCUGGGCCAAUACUGACGCUCAUGCACGAAGCGUGGGGAGCAAACAGG
rnacentral:rRNA from 1 species